CCUACGGGGGGCAGCAGUGAGGAAUAUUGGUCAAUGGACGCAAGUCUGAACCAGCCAUGCCGCGUGCAGGAAGACGGCCCUAUGAGUUGUAAACUGCUUUUGUACGAGGGUAAACGCAGAUACGCGUAUCUGUCUGAAAUUAUCGUACGAAUAAGGAUCGGCUAACUCCGUGCCAGCAGCCGCGGUAAUACGGAGGAUUCAAGCGUUAUCCGGAUUUAUUGGGUUUAAAGGGUGCGUAGGCGGUCGGAUAAGUUAGAGGUGAAAUCCCGAGGCUCAACUUCGGAAUUGCCUCUGAUACUGGUAGGCUAGAGAGUAGUUGAGGUAGGCGGAAUGUAUGGUGUAGCGGUGAAAUGCUUAGAGAUCAUACAGAACACCGAUUGCGAAGGCAGCUUACCAAGCUACUUCUGACGUUGAGGCACGAAAGCGUGGGGAGCAAACAGGAUUAGAUACCCUUGUAGUC
rnacentral:rRNA from 1 species